GUCUUGUGGAGUUUGUGUGUGAUCGUCAAGCCUCUGGAAAACUGCAAUGAGGAAUGGCACCCUGUCGAGGGCAACAAUGCCUUGAGGUGAACAUCCCUUCCUCAGAGAAAGGAGGAGGACGAGGCAGGGAAAAGGAGACAAGAAGAUGCAAGCAUAAUGACGGAAAAGAGGGAAGACAAAAUGGAACUACGGUACUAGAAAUUUAUUGCGCCAAGGCAAGAAAAAUAUUCCUGCGACUGACAGGAAUGACACCUUAGAUCAUCCGGGGGAAAUAAAGGAUAACGCUCUGAGCCGAUCCCUUUUUGGCAAAGCUAUCGUCGAAAAUGCCAGGCAAUUGUCAGCUGAUCGUCUGCCGACCAGGAUUUGAGUCAACGGGAUCCGGAAUCAUCAGAUGAGUGAACUCCCAUUGGAUCGCCUGGAAGCAGCCAAGCUUCAUCCCGAGAUCCUCUGGAUGAUAAUUGAGACGAAGCUCAUCCAUCUUGCAGUAAUGGAACACCCGCGAGUCGGACGUCUUUUAGGCUUGCGACAAAGUUAUGCAUUCAGCAGAUGUUCAAAUCCCAUUCCAGUACGCAAUGCAAACAAAAAAGGUUGUGCUUCAAGCAGAAGGGGGGACUGGUUUCCAGGAGAAUGACAACCACACAAAAUCCCAUUCAUCACCACCAAAGAAUAAAAUCCAGAUGUGGGGAAAACCUUGGUAGAUUUUAUGCACAAGGUAAUAAAAACCUGGACUAUUGAGCAAACGGUAGAGGAGGAAGAAAGUGCAGUUGAGGGAGCCGCAG